rnacentral:tRNA from 1 species
AGGCGCGUGGCUCAGCCAGGUAGAGCGGUGGACUCUUAAUCCAUCGGCCGGGGGUUCGAAUCCCCUCGCGCCUGCCA